rnacentral:rRNA from 1 species
AUUGAACGCUCGCGGGAUGCUUUACACAUGCAAGUCGAACGGCAGCGCGGACUUCGGUCUGGCGGCGAGUGGCGAACGGGUGAGUAAUGUAUCGGAACGUGCCCAGUAGCGGGGGAUAACUACGCGAAAGCGUAGCUAAUACCGCAUACGCCCUACGGGGGAAAGCAGGGGAUCGUAAGACCUUGCACUAUUGGAGCGGCCGAUAUCGGAUUAGCUAGUUGGUGAGGUAACGGCUCACCAAGGCGACGAUCCGUAGCUGGUUUGAGAGGACGACCAGCCGCACUGGGACUGAGACACGGCCCAGACUCCUACGGGAGGCAGCAGUGGGGAAUUUUGGACAAUGGGGGCAACCCUGAUCCAGCCAUCCCGCGUGUGCGAUGAAGGCCUUCGGGUUGUAAAGCACUUUUGGCAGGAAAGAAACGUCGCGGGCUAAUACCCCGUGGAACUGACGGUACCUGCAGAAUAAGCACCGGCUAACUACGUG